rfam:Arabis alpina cultivar Pajares Aa.chr4_contig_1100, whole genome shotgun sequence.
UGGCGAUGAUGAAAUUAAAAGGCCGGACUUACGGCUGCUACGACCACCAACCAAGUUGGUGUGUUCCGGUAGUAGAAUGAUUCGAAACUUACCAAAGGUUAUUUAGCUGAGCCUC